UACGUAGGUGGCAAGCGUUGUCCGGAUUUACUGGGCGUAAAGGGCGUGCAGGCGGUUUGUUAAGUCUAGGGUGAAAGCUCCCGGCUCAACUGGGAGAGGUCCUUGGAUACUGGCGAACUUGAGGGAUGCAGAGGAAAGUGGAAUUGCCGGUGUAGUGGUGAAAUGCGUAGAGAUCGGCAGGAACACCCGUGGCGCAAGCGGCCACCUAGCCCGUUGCUGACGCUGAGGCGCGACAGCGUGGGGAGCGAACUGG
rnacentral:rRNA from 1 species